ACAAAAUAGGAAUAACCGUUUCGUAUAAUUCCGGGAAUCGGCCUGGAAGUUUCUACGAGAUCACCGUAAAUGAUCUGGCUACGAACAAGGAUAGGAUGGUU
rnacentral:ncRNA from 2 species